UACGGAGGGUGCAAACGUUGCUCGGAAUCAUUGGGCGUAAAGCGCACGUAGGCGGCCUGAUAAGUCGGGUGUGAAAGCCCUGGGCUCAACCCAGGAAGUGCACUCGAAACUGUCAGGCUUGAAUAUGGAAGAGGGUCGCGGAAUUCCCGGUGUAGAGGUGAAAUUCGUAGAUAUCGGGAGGAACACCAGUGGCGAAGGCGGCGACCUGGGCCAAUAUUGACGCUGAGACACGAAGCGUGGGAGCAAACAGGAUUGAGAACCC
rnacentral:rRNA from 1 species